rnacentral:misc_RNA from 1 species
GAUGAAGAACGUAGCGAAAUGCGAUAAGUAGUGUGAAUUGCAGAAUUCAGUGAAUCAUCGAAUCUUUGAACGCACAUUGCGCCCCUUGGUAUCCCGAGGGGCAUGCCUGUUCGAGCGUCAUUUCACCACUCAAGCCUGGCUUGGUGUUGGGCGACGUCCUCUUUGGGGACGCGCCUCGAAACGCUCGGCGGCGUGGCACCGGCUUUAAGCGUAGCAGAAUCUUUCGCUUUGGAAGUCGGGGCCCCGUCUGCCGGAAGACCUGCUCGCAAGGUUGACCUCGGAUCAGGCAGGGAUACCCGCUGAACUUAAGCAUAUCAUAACGGAGGA